rnacentral:rRNA from 1 species
UGGGGAAUUUUGGACAAUGGGGGAAACCCUGAUCCAGCCAUUCCGCGUGUGUGAAGAAGGCCUUCGGGUUGUAAAGCACUUUUGGCGGGAAAGAAACGGCGUCGACUAAUACUCGGCGUAACUGACGGUACCCGCAGAAUAAGCACCGGCUAACUACGUGCCAGCAGCCGCGGUAAUACGUAGGGUGCAAGCGUUAAUCGGAAUUACUGGGCGUAAAGCGUGCGCAGGCGGUUCGGAAAGAAAGAUGUGAAAUCCCAGGGCUCAACCUUGGAACUGCAUUUUUAACUACCGGACUAGAGUAUGUCAGAGGGGGGUGGAAUUCCACGUGUAGCAGUGAAAUGCGUAGAUAUGUGGAGGAACACCGAUGGCGAAGGCAGCCCCCUGGGAUAAUACUGACGCUCAUGCACGAAAGCGUGGGGAGCAAACAGG